GGCAAUAAUGAUGAUGAGUAAGGGACUUAAUACUGAUGUGUGAUGUCACCUGAAUCUUUUUCUGAAUUUGU